GCGUGGCUUUCAAUAAAGAUUGCUGCUUCAUUUCCUGCGAAUGCGCCUUGCUUCAGAGAAGACCUUUCCAAGGGAACGCGGUACACUCAGAUACUAGCUGUCUCUCUGGAUUGCUUUCCCGCUAGAACUGAUUAGCAGCUGGGAAUCUCCAGUCGGACAGCGAAGCAUGGGAAUUUUGCGCUCAUAGAAGUUGCUGGGGAAUACCGUUAUUUUGUUUUGGAGCAGACGGAAAAGAGGAGAAGUGAGAGGGCGUUUCUCAAUCUUGGUUCAUUCAUUUGGCCUGCUGGGGAAUGUGGCAGCGAGCUACUAGGUUCAUCGGUGGGGCGGUUUGUUCACACCAAGCCACCGGGACUUUUAUUUGAGUUUUCAGGUCUUUCAAAAUGCACUGUCCCUUUUUUCGUGCCCCCUGCUCUCGUGCACGUGCUCAGCAGUUCGGCGUCGCCGGUGAUAGUCCACAGAUGCUACGAGGCGAAGGACUGUGCAGAAUUGUCGUGUGGCUGUGAAAUCGUAGUCGCAUUGCUCAUUUGCACGCCUAGAGGCUGGAAACAAACAGAACAUCCCUUAUUGUGUGGAUGCCGCGUGACGUUUUGCGUGCGUCGUCUCCGGUGCAAGAUGGGUUAACAAGACGGGAAACAGCGGAUUCGCUUAGACGCUCUGAUGCUCAAUUAAGGGGCGACUCGCGUUGCACCCUCCAACUUUAGGAGUGAAUUUGACGCUUAGUACAGUAACUGCAAUUACAGCCUCUUCACGUGCUUUGUCCGGGCGGGAGCAGAGCCAUGAGACCCACGGCAGGGGCUUUCUGAGUUACAAGUGAUAGUGCACGAUCCCAAAAAGACGUAGUCUGACGCCUGUCUCACAAAAACAGUGGCAGAGGAUAAACACACAGUCGAUUUGUGAAAGAGGGAUUUUCGCUUAACAAAAAGCUAGAGUUUCUGAGCUCCACCGAAAAAUUCACAGCAGCAUGUGCGGGAACCGCUUUCCGCAGGAGUUGUCAACGUGAUGCGUCAUGCGAAUGCGUGGGUGCCAGGUGUUCGUCAGAAACAGAAACGGCACACUUGGGAGGAGAGAGCAUUUUCAUGCGUUUCAACCUCGGGUACCAAAGAAGCUAGUGUUCUUCGGAUGCACCAGUAUUCGUGCUUGACGAGACGGCCCGAGUUCCAUUAUCUGCACACUGUACCUGCGUCCAGUGGUAGAAGCCGUCAGUACUAUGCAUCUCAAAAUCUUUGUUGUUCGCCCUGUACUCAAUCGAAAAGACUCUGAACACGUUGAACGGCCGGGGUGCGUUCUCUUGCACGGUUCUAGAGAGCGAACACUGCUGUAUGGCUACCUAUGCUGCGUUUAGAACCUCGGACCUGGUGAUUUCUUCUUCCAUUUUCUCGUCUAGUUUGCAGUUCCUGAGCGAAAGACGCUGUCUCGAG
rnacentral:lncRNA from 1 species